CCUACGGGAGGCUGCAGUGAGGAAUAUUGGUCAAUGGACGAGAGUCUGAACCAGCCAAGUAGCGUGAAGGAUGACUGCCCUAUGUGUUGUAAACUUCUUUUAUAUGGGAAUAAAACGUUCCACGUGUGGGAUUUUGUAUGUACCAUAUGAAUAAGGAUCGGCUAACUCCGUGCCAGCAGCCGCGGUAAUACGGAGGAUCCGAGCGUUAUCCGGAUUUAUUGGGUUUAAAGGGAGCGUAGGUGGAUUGUUAAGUCAGUUGUGAAAGUUUGCGGCUCAACCGUAAAAUUGCAGUUGAAACUGGCAGUCUUGAGUACAGUAGAGGUGGGCGGAAUUCGUGGUGUAGCGGUGAAAUGCUUAGAUAUCACGAAGAACUCCGAUUGCGAAGGCAGUUCACUGGACUGCAACUGACACUGAGGCUCGAAAGUGUGGGUAUCAAACAGGAUUAGAUACCCUAGUAGUC
rnacentral:rRNA from 1 species